GGAUACGUUCUUUUCUCGCAUGAGAGAAGAUGGAAAGACGGUUUACGCUGUCACUUAUAGAUGGGCCCGCGGCGCAUUAGCUAGUUGGUGAGGUAAUGGCUCACCAAGGCGACGAUGCGUAGCCGACCUGAGAGGGUGAUCGGCCACACUGGGACUGAGACACGGCCCAGACUCCUACGGGAGGCAGCAGUAGGGAAUCUUCCGCAAUGGACGAAAGUCUGACGGAGCAACGCCGCGUGAACGAAGAAGGCCUUCGGGUCGUAAAGUUCUGUUGUUAGGGAAGAACAAGUACCAGAGUAACUGCUGGUACCUUGACGGUACCUAACCAGAAAGCCACGGCUAACUACGUGCCAGCAGCCGCGGUAAUACGUAGGUGGCAAGCGUUGUCCGGAAUUAUUGGGCGUAAAGCGCGCGCAGGUGGUUCCUUAAGUCUGAUGUGAAAGCCCACGGCUCAACCGUGGAGGGUCAUUGGAAACUGGGGAACUU
rnacentral:rRNA from 1 species